rnacentral:lncRNA from 1 species
GCCGUGACAACUAUGUACCAACAUCAACGCCUUCAAUCACAAAAAAGAAAAUCGAUUUCUCGAGCUACUCGAACAUUUCAACUUCAAAAAACUUAUACGUGGUUAGAAGUAGCAGUGGCCGACAACUGGCUGCAGAGAUGAGAGGAUGCAGUGGGCAACGGGCGACGGAUCUAGAAGUAACAGGGACAUCGAAUAAGAAGGGAGUAGCAGAUCUAGGAGUAGCAAUGAGCAACGAAUCCAAACAAUGGUGGAUCCAAGUAGCAGCGACUCUUCUUCGCGUCCAUUUCUUUCUCUGUUUGGGUCGGAGGUUCGCGGCGUGCAGCUUGUAGCUACGGCGAGAUCGGAUUGUGGUGGUGUUGGAACAAAUAAUUUUAUGUACAAUGUGGAGAUCUGCAUUUGGAUUUCUGUGCGUUUAGAUCUAGGUUUUGUAUAAUAGAUUGCUUUGUGUAAACAUGAAGAUCUACAUUUAGGCUUCAAAAGAUUUUGUUUAAUUUGGAUACCACCAAUUUGAUCUAUGUAUAAAUAUGAAGAUGUAUGUCAUUGUGUUGUUCUAUUUUCUGCAAAGAUUUUGACUUGGCUUCUUUGGAAUAGUAAUAGGUUAAAUUGUGGGAGUUUGGAUCUUGGGUAAUUGCUGCAAUUAUUUGUAUCAUGAAGAUCUGCA